AAGAUUUCUGCAGGGCUGCAGCAGCCUCUGGAACAGAGGCAUCUUCUAACGAAGUGACCUGGAGAGGAGAGGGGACCUGGGCCUGACUGCAUCCCCAGGGUGCUCUGGCCCCAGGGAAGAAAGCUGUCAUCCCUUGCUGCACUUUGGGGGGGGGGGACACGGGACCCUCCCCCUGCCCAGGGGCAAAAGACAGCUGUAUCACAAUGAACGAAGAGGCCCUGAGGAAGAAGUCUGGUGAAUAUUUCUCAGAAUGCGUUCUAAAGUUGGUUAAAAAGCUGGCAACAAGAAUAGAAGAACUGCAAACAAUGCAGCCUGCCUUUGCCAAGACACAAAUAGGAAGAAGCAUUUGAAAGGACCAUGUACGGUAUCAAAUUAUCUGCAAAGAUGAAGAAAGUAAUGACUUACAUUCUCCGUCCUCUGACUGGGUGAUUCAUCAAAGUGGAAGACGAAGCAGUUGGAGAUGAAAGUCACUCCCAAAAGAAGGCAAAAAGGAUGAGCUUGGAAAGAGCCAAUUUAAUUAGACAAGUUCACAUGGGACCAGAGUAUCUGUGACUGGGGGGGGGCACCUAAGUGUUUUGUUCUUCUUUAUGUCCUGCACAGCCUUUGACAAAGUUUAGGCCUGACUCACUACGUUCAUCUGGAUCAUGGGUAGCUUGAGACGCACCCCCUGCACACAGGGUAACCUGUGUACAUACACAGACAAUAGCGGUUGUGUUUUGCACACUGGGUUAGACUGAAGGGGAGAAAUAGGUGUCCCUGAUCUGCCUGGCAUCAAAAGGUUCCUCUUGGUAGUCUCCGGCUAUUUUUGUAAUGGUAUAUCGAAAUAGAACUCACACACCACACUAUCUACCCAUUUGCAUUUCCUAAAUAUUUUCUUGUUUAAAAAUCUGCCUUAUUCAAUGACUGCAAUCUCCACGAGGGUGA
rnacentral:lncRNA from 1 species